rnacentral:tRNA from 1 species
AGCAAGGUAAGCUAAAUAAGCUUUUGGGUUCAUACCCCAACAAUAUUGGUUAAACCCCCUUUCUCGCUA